CACGGUCCGAGUUGUAAUUUGUAGAGGAUGCUUCGAGCAUGGUCUGGCCUAAGUUCCUUGGAACAGGACGUCAUAGAGGGUGAGAAUCCCGUAUGCGGUCAGGUGCCUACGCUCAUGUGAAGCUCCUUCGACGAGUCGAGUUGUUUGGGAAUGCAGCUCAAAAUGGGUGGUAAAUUUCAUCUAAAGCUAAAUAUUGGCCAGAGACCGAUAGCGCACAAGUAGAGUGAUCGAAAGAUGAAAAGCACUUUGGAAAGAGAGUUAAACAGUACGUGAAAUUGUUGAAAGGGAAGCGCUUGCGACCAGACUUGCGUGCGGCCGAUCAUCCGGUGUUCUCACUGGUGCACUCGGCCGUGCUCAGGCCAGCAUCGGUUUCGGCGGCUGGAUAAAGGCCCUAGGAAUGUGGCUCCUCUCGGGGAGUGUUAUAGCCUAGGGUGCAAUGCAGCCCGCUGGGACCGAGGACCGCGCUUCGGCUAGGAUGCUGGCGUAAUGGUCGUAAGCGGCCCGUCUUGAAACACGGACCAAGGAGUCUAACAUCUAUGCGAGUGUUUGGGUGUCAAACCCAUACGCGUAAUGAAAGUGAACGGAGGUGAGAA
rnacentral:rRNA from 1 species